rnacentral:lncRNA from 1 species
AUUAUCUUGAAUAUUAUUAUAGUUAGAGAUAAACUGUAAACAGCAAUAAUGUUUAGCAAAGUAAGAUUUACAAAUAAGUCAACAUGACCAAAAUGAUCAGUUGACCCCUUUAUGAGUAAUGCCCUUUAUAGUCAAUUUUUAACCAUUUUUCGUAAAUCUUAGUAAUCUUUUACAAAAAAUCUUCUCCUCUGAAACUACUGGGUUAAAUAAUCCAAACUUGGCCACAAUCAUUUUUGGGAUAUUUAGUUUAAAAAAAUGUGUCCGGUGACCCGGCCAUCCAACCAAGAUGGCCGCCACGGCUAAAAAUAGAACAUAGGGGUAAAAUGCAGUUUUUGGCUUAUAACUCAAAAACCAAAGCAUUUAGAGCAAAUCUGACUGGGGUAAAAUUGUUUAUCAGGUCAAGAUCUAUCUGCCCUUAAAUUUUCAGAUGAAUCGGACAACCCGUUGUUUAGUUGCUGCCCCUAAAUUGGUAAGUUUAAGGAAAUUUUGCUGUUUUUGGUUAUUAUCUUGAAUACUAUUAUAGAUAGAGAUAACCUGUAAACAGCAAUAAUGUUCAGAAAAGUGAGAUUUACAAAUAAGUCAACAUGACUGAAAUGGUCAAUUGACCCCCUAAGGAGUUAUUGUCCUUUAUAGUCAAUUUUUAACAAUUUUCAUAAAAUUUGUAAAUGUUUACUAACAUUUUCCACUGAAACUACUGGGCCAAGUUCAUUAUAGAUAGAGAUAAUUGUAAGCAGCAAGAAUGUUCAGUAAAGUAAGAUGUACAAACACAUCACCAUCACCAAAAC